GCCUGGGUGGCUCAGCCGGUUGAGCGUCUGACUUCAGCUCAGGUCGUGAUCUCACGGCUCGUGAGUUCGAGCCCCGCGUCGGGCU
rfam:Felis catus isolate Cinnamon breed Abyssinian chromosome D4, whole genome shotgun sequence.